rnacentral:misc_RNA from 1 species
CAAUCCCCAAUGGUUUUUCAACCGUUUGUGAUUGGACUUGGGUGUCUGCCUACCAAGGCUCGCCUCAAAUGACUUUGUGGGAACCUGUGACCUACGCCUGACGUAAUAAGUUUCGUCUUGGCAAGUCUCUGGGCCUGCUCCUAACCCUCAUACUUUCUGACAUUGACCUCAAAUCAGGUAGGGCUACCCGCUGAACUUAA